CAAAGGCAUUGCUUUCUUUGUUAAUCUGAAAACAGUAAUCCUAUUAACUUGCUGAUUACACAGCAGUGUACGAAAAUGGCUUGUACUUAUGAAAGUACGUCAUAUAUUUGCAAUAGCUACUAAAAGAUUUGCGAAAUAUAUGUCAGCCUCACCAUAUCAUCACAAAACGUUAUUGAAGACAUAGUGGGUGCUUCAGCAACCCUCUGGACCAGCCUGUUAUGUUGGUGGACUACAUGUGUGGCUACAGCAGCAGAAGCCACUAGAUCUGGAAGCUCUCAUGUCUCCACACUUUUUAUGUAUUUUUUCAUGCUGCUGAUUGGAUUCUACUUCUGAAGGACAAUGGUGUAGAAUUUAGCUGACAGACACAAUAACAGUGUGCAAGGGAGUUUUGCAAAAGGAAAAGUCUUUGACAAUCAUCAGAUGAGACUACAAAUAUUGGUAACUCACAAGCUGCAAAAUGGUAAGGUAUUUCUUCCACCACAGGUACUUAGCUACUGCUGGGCCCAGGGCAGAAAGCCCAUAAUAUGUGUACAUCAGUACAUGGAUGAAGCUAUUAGCCAUUGCUGGAAGGAAGGCUGAAAAACAAGGAUACAUACCUUAAAUACUAAUCCAAGCUAAAAUUAAAACCAUAUGGUCAGUUGUGAAGGAAGUGUCUUGUCAGCAGCACACGGUCAAC